rnacentral:misc_RNA from 1 species
GUUGGUGAACCAGCGGAGGGAUCAUUACAGAGUUGCAAAACUCCCAACCAUUGUGAACCUACCUCACCGUUGCUUCGGCGGGUGGCCCGCUAAUCCCAGGCCGCGCCGGCCCCUCUCUAGGGGGCCCGGCAACCCGUCAGAGGCCCUAAACUCUUCGUCAUCAGUGGCCUCUCUGAGUAACUUAUACAAUAAGUCAAAACUUUCAACAACGGAUCUCUUGGUUCUGGCAUCGAUGAAGAACGCAGCAUCU